UACAGAGGUCUCAACCGUUGUUCGGAUUCAUUGGGCGUAAAGGGUGCGUAGGCGGCGGGGUAAGUCAGGUGUGAAAUCUCGGGGCUCAACCCCGAAACUGCACUUGAUACUGCCUCGCUUGAGUACUGGAGAGGAGACUGGAAUUUACGGUGUAGCAGUGAAAUGCGUAGAUAUCGUAAGGGAAGACCAGUGGCGAAGGCGGGUCUCUGGACAGUUCCUGACGCUGAGGCACGAAGGUCAGGGGAGCAAACGGG
rnacentral:rRNA from 1 species